rnacentral:tRNA from 1 species
AAGUUUAGGUUAAACAAACCAAGAGCCUUCAAAGCCCUAAAUAAGAGUAUCCACCCCCCUAACUUCU